rnacentral:rRNA from 1 species
UUGAACGCUGGCGGAAUGCUUUACACAUGCAAGUCGAGCGGCAGCGCGGGGGCAACCCUGGCGGCGAGCGGCGAACGGGUGAGUAACAUAUCGGAACGUACCCCGUCGUGGGGGAUAACACAGCGAAAGUUGUGCUAAUACCGCAUACGACCUGAGGGUGAAAGCGGGGGACCUUCGGGCCUCGCGCGAUUGGAGCGGCUGAUGUCGGAUUAGCUGGUUGGUGGGGUAAAGGCCUACCAAGGCGACGAUCCGUAGCUGGUCUGAGAGGAUGAUCAGCCACACUGGGACUGAGACACGGCCCAGACUCCUACGGGAGGCAGCAGUGGGGAAUUUUGGACAAUGGGCGCAAGCCUGAUCCAGCCAUGCCGCGUGAGUGAAGAAGGCCUUCGGGUUGUAAAGCUCUUUCAGACGGAAAGAAAUCGGGCGGGUGAAUAGCCUGCCUGGAUGACGGUACUGUCAGAAGAAGCACCGGCUAACUACGU